UACGAAGGGUGCUAGCGUUGCUCGGAAUUACUGGGCGUAAAGGGAGCGUAGGCGGAUAGUUCAGUCAGAGGUGAAAGCCCAGGGCUCAACCUUGGAACUGCCUUUGAUACUGGCUAUCUUGAGUUUGGGAGAGGUGUGUGGAACUCCGAGUGUAGAGGUGAAAUUCGUAGAUAUUCGGAAGAACACCAGUGGCGAAGGCGACCCACUGGCCCAAUACUGACGCUGAGGCUCGAAAGCGUGGGGAGCAAACAGG
rnacentral:rRNA from 1 species